AGAUAAAAAGCAAGCUGAGAACAUGCAACCCAAGCUAUUCUAAGCAGUUCCCUUUUUUAUAAAGGAACAGGAAAUACGUAUAGUAAAGCUGGGAGACAGUAAACAUGUAUUUCUGGCUGGCAUUUGUUUAGGGCAUCAGUAACGUGUCCAGGCAUUCAGACAAGUCCCCAUAACUGGCACAUUUCAGACAACUCUAGUUUGCCAAAUAACAUUUUUAUUGUUUGCUGGAACCUUUUAGGAAUGACAAGGAACUAUAUAAUUUUCAUUGAACAACCUCUAAAGAUGAACCUGUGGAAAAUUGCCACUUCUAAAAUUCGGGGAAAGGCCUUUUCAGAUGGGAUAAGCUGGGAACCCCAGUGUAAUACGCGGUUUCAUGUGGUGGAAAAACGCACUGGACAGCUCCUUCCAGGGAGAUACUACAGCAAACCUUUUGUUACAUUUCAUCAAAUCAAUGCCUUUGAGGACCAGGGCUGUGUUAUAAUUGAUUUGUGCUGUCAAGAUAAUGGAAGAACCCUAGAAGUUUACCAGUUACAGAAUCUCA
rnacentral:lncRNA from 1 species